CGCUAAUGUGCCCCGGACUCUGGGAUAGCCGGUUGAAAGAUCGGGUAAUACCAGAUGAUAUACCUUUAUCGCAUGAUAGAGGUCUCAAGGGUCCGCCGGUCUGGGAGCAGGCGAUUUCGUAUCAGCUAGUUGGUGAGGUAACGGCUCACCAAGGCGAUGACGCGUAGCCGGACUGAGAGGUUGGCCGGCCACAUUGGGACUGAGACACUGCCCAG
rnacentral:rRNA from 1 species